AACGAACGCUGGCGGCAGGCCUAACACAUGCAAGUCGAACGCCCGUAGCAAUACGGGAGUGGCAGACGGGUGAGUAACGCGUGGGAACGUGCCCUUCGGUUCGGAAUAACUCAGGGAAACUUGAGCUAAUACCGGAUACGUCCGUAAGGAGAAAGAUUUAUCGCCGAAGGAUCGGCCCGCGUCGGAUUAGCUAGUUGGUGAGGUAACGGCCCACCAAGGCGACGAUCCGUAGCUGGUCUGAGAGGAUGAUCAGCCACACUGGGACUGAGACACGGCCCAGACUCCUACGGGAGGCAGCAGUGGGGAAUAUUGGACAAUGGGCGAAAGCCUGAUCCAGCCAUGCCGCGUGAGUGAAGAAGGCCUUAGGGUUGUAAAG
rnacentral:rRNA from 1 species